AUUGAACGCUGGCGGAAUGCUUUACACAUGCAAGUCGAACGGCAGCACGGGGCAACCUGGUGGCGAGUGGCGAACGGGUGAGUAAUACAUCGGAACGUGCCCAAUCGUGGGGGAUAACGUAGCGAAAGUUACGCUAAUACCGCAUACGAUCUACGGAUGAAAGCGGGGGAUCGCAAGACCUCGCGCGAAUGGAGCGGCCGAUGUCAGAUUAGGUAGUUGGUGGGGUAAAGGCUCACCAAGCCGACGAUCUGUAGCUGGUCUGAGAGGACGACCAGCCACACUGGGACUGAGACGCGGCCAGACUCCUACGGGAGGCAGCAGUGGGGAAUUUUGGACAAUGGGCGCAAGCCUGAUCCAGCCAUUCCGCGUGCAGGAUGAAGGCCUUCGGGUUGUAAACUGCUUUUGUACGGAACGAAACGGCUCUCUCUAAUACAGGGGGCUAAUGACGGUACCGUAAGAAUAAGCACCGGCUAACUACGUGCCAGCCGCCGCCGUAACAC
rnacentral:rRNA from 1 species